rnacentral:rRNA from 1 species
CAGCAGCCGCGGUAAUACGUAGGUGGCAAGCGUUGUCCGGAAUUAUUGGGCGUAAAGGGCUCGCAGGCGGUUUCUUAAGUCUGAUGUGAAAGCCCCCGGCUCAACCGGGGAGGGUCAUUGGAAACUGGGAGACUUGAGUGCAGAAGAGGAGAGUGGAAUUCCACGUGUAGCGGUGAAAUGCGUAGAGAUGUGGAGGAACACCAGUGGCGAAGGCGACUCUCUGGUCUGUAACUGACGCUGAGGAGCGAAAGCGUGGGGAGCGAACAGGAUUAGAUACCCCAGUAGUCCCUGUCUCUUAUAC